rnacentral:misc_RNA from 1 species
AAGGAUCAUUAUCGAGUUAGGGUCCUUGUGGCCCGACCUCCAAUCCUGUGUUAAACUACCACGUUGCUUUGGCGGGCCCGCCAUGCGGCCGCCGGGGGCAUUGAAGCCUCUGGCCAGCGCCCGUCAACGGCUCAAUGACAAACCCUUUUAAUCGUGGCCCUCUUAGUCAUAAACUUAAUGGAUGCAAAACUUUCAACAACGGAUCUCUUGGUUCUG